rnacentral:tRNA from 1 species
GAGCCGGUAGCUCAGUUGGUCAGAGCGGUAAGCUUAUACCUUACUGGUCGGGGGUUCAAGUCCCUCCCGGCUCACCA